rnacentral:lncRNA from 1 species
CAGAGAGGGGGGCGGCCCGCGGGUCCCCGGCAUGGCGGGCAGCCCGCGGGCAGCCGAGGAGCAUCGCGGGCGAACACCACACCGGGAGCUCCGGCACCGAGCGGCCGCUGAUCCCACCCCCUCCGCUACGUGCGGGGCGGGGCCGCCCUGAGGGGCGGUGCUGGGGCUGCAGUGUUCCGUCAGCGCGGGGACCCACUGUGCCGCGUCCACACACGUCCGGGGACGGUGACCCGGCACCUCCCUGAGCAUCACCGCUCUUUCAGAGAAGUUUUUCCCAACACCUGACUGGAUUAAGUGCGGAAAACACGUCGGGACCGCCUCACAGAGGAUUUCAUGCCAGCACCAACGUGGCCGUGCCUUGAUUUCAGAGAGGCAGGUGCUGAGGCUGUUCCGUGUGUCGCUUCACUCAUACACAAGUUUCUUCAGAAGUUGCUGAGUUUGCUGAAAAAUAUGACUUCAGCCACUCGUGCCCUACGGACGAACUGUGCUGCAAUGAGAAACUUACAGCCACCUCAGCAG